rnacentral:tRNA from 1 species
GUCUUGAUAGUAUAAAUAUUACUUUGGUCUUGUAAACCAAAAAUGAGGACCUAUCCUCUCAAGACA